rnacentral:misc_RNA from 1 species
UACGGAGGGGACUAGCGUUAUCCGGAAUCAUUGGGUUUAAAGGAUCCGUAGGCGGGUUAAUAAGUCAGUGGUGAAAGUCUGCAGCUCAACUGUAGAAUGGCCAUUGAUACUGUUAACCUUGAGUAAUUAUGAAGUGGUUAGAAUAUGUAGUGUAGCGGUGAAAUGCAUAGAUAUUACAUAGAAUACCGAUUGCGAAGGCAGAUCACUAACAAUAUACUGACGCUGAUGGACGAAAGCGUAGGUAGCGAACAGG